UUCCUCGCUCAUAGUAAGAGGCUUACAAUCGAAAAACAUCCUGCCGAAUUUCUGCAUUUCCAGAAGGCCAAUGCGCAUAACAGCAGAUUUGGUAUUAUCUCCCAAUUCAAGUCCAUCAAUAAUACCGGCAGCGACAGCGACGAUAUUCUUGAGUGCACCGCCCAAAGCAACACCAGGAACAUCCUCAACAAUGUUGACACGGAAGUAGGGACGGUUAAACAAAGCUUGGAUAGUCUUAGGAGUAUAGCGGGGAUUAACAGAACUAUUAGGCAAAUAUCCGAUAGUAGUUUCGCAAAACUUCUCUUGAGCAACUUCGCUGGCAAUGUUGGCGCCAGAGAGA